GAUGAACGCUGGCGGCGUGCCUAAUACAUGCAAGUCGAGCGAACUUUUGGGAACUUUCUCCCAAUAGUUAUCGCCGGGCGGGUGAGUAACACGCGGGGAACCUCUCUCUAAGACUCGGAUAACUCUUCGAAACCCGAGCUAAUACCCGAUAACAUUUUAUACCCCAUGGCCUUCAAUUAAAAGGUGGCUUUUUGCUACCACUUACAGAUGGACCCGCGCCGCAUUAGCUAGUUGGUAAGGUAACGGCUUACCAAGGCAACGAUGCGUAGCCGACCUGAGAGGUGGUUCGCCAAAACGGGAACGAGACAAGGCCCAGGCCCCCACGGGAGGGAAGAGGAGGGGAUCCUUCGCAAUGGGCGAAAGUCUGACGGGGCAACGCCGGCUUGGGGGAUGAAGCCUUCGGGUCGGAAAACUCUUUUGUUUGGGAAAAAAAAGUAGCGUACGAAUAGGGGGAUACCUUGACGGUACCUAAUCAGAAAGCCACGGCUAACUACGUG
rnacentral:rRNA from 1 species